GAACUGACUGGAAAAUAUCAACACUCCCAGAGCACAGCACUCCCCUGAAGCGUCAGUUCCGGUCCCACCCAGCUGCAAAUCCACGUCCGGCGGGGAGGCGGGCGUCGCUUCACCCUGGCCACAGGCCGAGUUCUGCGAUGCUGACCUUGGUUGAAGUUCUUCCCUGAAGAGUGUCAGUUAAAAAUGAUUAGCAACCCAAGGCAAGAGAAGGUUUAAGGGACUCUCUCAGCCGGGGAUUGGAACCCAGGUCAACCUAAAUCCAAGGGUCGUUGCGGAGAACUAAAUGAGAUAAGAAGUGCUACAAAGUGUUCAGCCUGGAACAUAAUGAACACACAUGGAAAUAACAAUAUUUCUUACCUGAUAGGGUCACUGUGGAGAUUAAAUGAGAUAAGAAG